rnacentral:rRNA from 1 species
AUACGAAGGGGGCUAGCGUUGUUCGGAAUAACUGGGCGUAAAGCGCACGUAGGCGGAAUGUUAAGUUAGAGGUGAAAUCCCAGGGCUCAACCCUGGAACUGCCUUUAAUACUGGCAAUCUAGAGAUCGAGAGAGGUGAGUGGAAUUCCGAGUGUAGAGGUGAAAUUCGUAGAUAUUCGGAGGAACACCAGUGGCGAAGGCGGCUCACUGGCUCGAUACUGACGCUGAGGUGCGAAAGCGCGGGGAGCAAACAGGAUUAGAUACCCUAGUAGUCC